AGUCAAUAGAUACCCUGGUAGUCCUAGCCCUAAACGGUGCGUGUUUGCUGUAAAACGGAAUCGACCCCUUUUGUGGCGAAAGCUAAACGCGUUAAAAACACGCCGCCUGGGGAGUACGGUCGCAAGAUUAAAACCUCAAAGAAAUUGACGGGGGCCUGCACAAGCGGUGGAGUAUGUGGCUUAAUUCGAUGCAACGCGAAGGACCUUACCUGGCCUUGACAUGCAUGUGGUAGAACCAUGAAAGUGGGACGAUCCCGCAAGGGAAGCGUGCACAGGUGCUGCAUGGCUGUCGUCAGCUCGUGUCGUGAGAUGUUGGGUUAACGUCCCGCAACGAGCGCAACCCCGUAUGUCCUGUUGCCACCCGGAUCGAGAGAUUGGAGCACUCUGGACAGACUGCCUCGCUUAAACGGGGUAGGAAGGUGGGGAUGACGUCAAGUCAGUAUGGCCCUUACGGCCAGGGCUGCACACGUACUACAAUGCCCGGUACAAACGGGUAAGCAAGACCGUCAGGUGGAGCAAAUCCCAGAAAA
rnacentral:rRNA from 1 species